rnacentral:rRNA from 1 species
GUACACACCGCCCGUCGCUACUACCGAUUGAAUGGCUCAGUGAGGCCUUCGGACUGGCUCAGGGAGGUCGGCAACGACCACCCAGAGCCGGAAAGUUCGUCAAACUUGGUCAUUUAGAGGAAGUAAAAGUCGUAACAAGGUAUUCGUAGGUGAACCUGCAGAAGGAUCA